rnacentral:lncRNA from 1 species
CCACUCCCUCACUGUUAAUCCGUAGCCUUCCUUUACCCUUUCCUCGAACAUGCACCGUAUCUCUGAUAACUUCCGGCAACAAACGAAGAGGGAGUGUUCGGAAUUCGUAAAGAGACAGCCCGUCGCUAAUCGAUAUCGAAAUAGUUCUUGAUGUGAGAUGGUAAAGGUUUCAUUCAAAAUUUGUUGAACGUUAUUGAGAACGGAGUCGUCAAAAGUAUCGUUACUAUGAAGUAGUCGUUUCUUCAACAAAUCUCUGGGGUUGUUAUGCCUUAAACUGCCUGCUAUUACCAUUCUAACCGAUCUACAAGGAAUAUUUCCUAUGGUCAAGAGACGAGGUAUGUUUGGUUCCCUACAGCUUUGCUUAUCUUUGAAGCUCUUCCAAAGUUUCAAGACGUGACCUCUCACCAGGAAAUUGUAUGAGGUGUGUGUUGGCUUUCGGUGUUAUCUAAGUUGUCCAAAAGAGGGGCUCGUGUGGACCAAGUAAUGGGAGAACUAUGGGGAGAAUCGAGUUCCAAGAGUAGGUUCUCAUUCUCUGCCAGAAAUUGUUAACUGAUUUGGUAACCUUGCAUAAGCUCCCGUGGACCUAUGUUGAGUCGUCAUUUUAGAUGGUAGCUCACCUGCUCGAAGAAAUAUUUUUAAAUUCUAAGUGGCAAGAAUCAACCUAUUGAACCAAGAUAAAUUCAAUGAUUUUCAGCUUGCUUUGGGAUUUAGGCAACCUAAUCCCCAGUCUCUUAUGGGAGCCUCUAACUGGCUUUGCAAUAUAUACGAUAUCCUCCCUGAAAGAAGUGUACCUCAUAAGAUGAAUUACUUUCGGGAUCAUUAUGGAGUUCCAGAUCUUAAAGAUUCAGCACCUUCUUCAUGUUGGGAUGUUUCAAUGUUGCCAUUCAGGAGCAAAGACGAAUUGGAGAACUUGAGAUGUGGAAAUUUUGCCAUAAAAGUUAACUCUUCGGACGUGAGGACCACUGUUUUUUUGAAAUUAACUUAUGAGUCCCGAGUUCUUAAUUAACCUCUCCAGUGUAAGAAAUACUUCUUUGAUAGACGGGUGUGAGGUCAUCUGUAUGCUAGAGUGAUUUGUAAACUUUAUCACAAUAUUGAAAGUAAUUAAUUUUUCUAUUCUUCACUAUUUCUCAGUGAAAAUAUAUAACAGCAAUUAGAAACAGAGAUGGGGAUAAACUAUGUAUCUCCUUGUCGGCAGCCCCUUGUGCUAUGGAAACUGGACAAAUGUCCUCCUCUUCGUACUAUACUAGGAAUACUCAUGAGAAUAGUGGCUAUGAUUCUUAUAAACUUUUCUGGAAAAGAUAAUUCGAGCAAUUGCCGUAGAAUGAACCGGUGGGAGACCGUGUCAAAAGCUUUAUCGAAAUCUAUCAAGUAAAACGUAAAACUUUUGCCUGCCAGCUUUAUCUCAUUGAUCAUAUCUUGGAAAGUACGUGGAAUGUCUUCAGUAAAUCUAUUUCUCAUAAAACCCUUCUGUUCGUAUGGAAUAAUAUGCAGGAGGAUCCUCACUAGCCUCUUGUUUAAUAUUCCCGUCAAAUUUUUGUUACUUUUUAUAGAACUAAUAAACUAAGGGAUCGCUUCCUAGUAAAAGAUUUUUCUGUAAGCACCAUCAAGGAUUGGGCAAGCGCUGAUGCAAAUGUUUUAUAGAACUCGAAAGGGAGACCCGAUAUUCCAGGUGAUUUUUUUUUCUUUUAUAUUAUGUCCUUAUAUAUUCUAUAUUUUCAGAUCGAUGUAUAAGUUACUCUAUUCCAGAGAAUUCAAACUUAUCUUCUUUUCGUCCAAGUCUGGUCUCCCCACGAAUAGAGCUCCACCACCUUGAAGAGUUCUUGAGACGUCAGCUAUAACAAAAUUUACACAUAGCUUGACUUGUACAGUCCCCACACCGGUACAUGUUUUCAUAGAAGUCAGAAGCCGUUCUAGAAACCAGUCUAGGGCCAUUGGUUACUGAUCAAUCUGAUAAUCUCAGUGAGUGUAAUUUGUUACAUUGUGAAUAUACUUCCAGGUUUUUAUUAUUCCCUUUCCCAUUUAUAUUGUCUUGGCUCUGAUUAAACUCCACCAUUUUUAUACUCAACUACUCUAUGUAGCUCUCCACUCGUCUCUGCUGUGUUCCCUUCUAGACUCUAUAUUGGUCUUUAUUUUGUUUCUUAACUGUGCUUCUCUCUGUCCGAUAUUUUUAAAGCGAUGACUGGAACCAUUUUCUAUUUUUUCUUAAGCUUUACAGGAGUACAAGCCCAUUCCUAUUCUCUCGUCAUGAUAUUUAAUAAUCCUGCGUAUUUUAGUUUUUGUUUCUUCUGAUUCCAGAUGUGUGACGUUAAGUUUCCAGAGCGUUUUGGUUUGUUGAUAAACCCUCGAGAACCUUGCUAUAAUAGGGGAGUGAUCUGAAAAAUAUAAGGAACACUUGGAACUCAUUUAUCAUUUUAAAUAUGGUUGGUUGAAGCAAAAAUAUAAUCAAGUCGACCUUGUUUUUGCCUUUCUGGAUUUGAGGACCAGAAGGUCAUUUGAGGGUUUUGAGGUCGAGUCUUAGGAGCCAAGUCGUCCUGAAGGUACUUGGAAACCACAAUCUCAAGGUCUUUUCCAUUUUUCUUAUUUCUGGAUUCUUUUCCCUUAAACAAUGUUGCAAGCGUGACUUGAAGGAAUUAGAAUGGACUUUUGUUAAGCUGUGAAAAUUGGCAUUAAUUAAUGGAUAAUAAUUCAAUAAUUGAGAAAAAUUGGCAACACAUCAACUUAUUUGAGGAAUUGUUUUGCUUCUUUUCUGAGAAAAGUUAGUGAGAUAUAAUAAAGUUAACGACUUGUGUAACUAAUCUAAGUUGAUGUUAUAUUCGUAAUUUACAAAUUUCAAUAUUUUAAUUGGAGAAAAGUUGAGAUAAUAUUUUAAAGCCAGGAAUUACUAUUUAAAAAAGAAGAAGGCAUGUUUAUUAUAUAAGAAGCUUUAUAUUUUUUUUAUCUCUUAUUUGAAAAAAAAAUCAAUAUAAUAUAAUAUUUAAUAUGGUCUAAAGUUAAUAAGGGAAGCCUCACUAAAACCACAUUUUAUUUUUAUUUACAUAAUGUUUAUUACUUUAUUACCAUUUCUACCAUAUAAGGAUGAGUUGAAUGUCUUUUUCUUCGCAUUAACAACCAUUUUUAAUAUAUAAUAAAAGUACUAUUGUAGAA